AGAGUUUGAUCCUGGCUCAGAAUCAACGCUGGCGGCGCGCCUAACACAUGCAAGUCGCACGAGAAAGUGGAGCAAUCCAUGAGUACAGUGGCGUACGGGUGAGUAACACGUGGAUCAUCUACCUCUUAGUGGGGAAUAACCCUGGGAAACCGGGGCUAAUACCGCAUAAGCUCGAGAGAGGAAAGCAGCAAUGCGCUGAGAGAGGAGUCCGCGGCCGAUUAGCUUGUUGGCAGGGUAAAAGCCUACCAAGGCAAAGAUCGGUAGCCGGCCUGAGAGGGCACACGGCCACACUGGCACUGAAACACGGGCCAGACUCCUACGGGAGGCAGCAGUGGGGAAUCUUGCACAAUGGGGGAAACCCUGAUGCAGCGACGCCGCGUGAGCGAUGAAGCCCUUCGGGGUGUAAAGCUCUUUCGGCAGGGAAGAUCAUGACGGUACCUGCAGAAGCAGCUGCGGCUAACUACGUGCCAGCAGCCGCGGUAAUACGUAGGCAGCAAGCGUUGUUCGGAGUUACUGGGCGUAAAGGGUGUGUAGGCGGUUUCUUAAGUUUGGUGUGAAAUCUCCCGGCUCAACUGGGAGGGUGCGCCGAAUACUGAGGGACUCGAGUGCGGGAGAGGAGAGUGGAAUUCCUGGUGUAGCGGUGAAAUGCGUAGAUAUCAGGAGGAACACCGGCGGUGUAGACGGCUCUCUGGACCGUAACUGACGCUGAGACACGAAAGCGUGGGUAGCAAACAGGAUUAGAUACCCUGGUAGUCCACGCCCUAAACGAUGCAUAUUUGGUGUGGGCAGUUCAUUCUGUCCGUGCCGGAGCUAACGCGUUAAAUAUGCCGCCUGGGGAGUACAGUCGCAAGGCUGAAACUCAAAGGAAUUGACGGGGCCCGCACAAGCGGUGGAGCAUGUGGUUCAAUUCGACGCAACGCGAAGAACCUUACCUGGGCUCGAAC
rnacentral:rRNA from 1 species